rnacentral:rRNA from 1 species
GAUGAACGCUGGCGGCGUGCCUAAUACAUGCAAGUCGAGCGAACGGACGAGAAGCUUGCUUCUCUGAUGUUAGCGUCGGACGGGUGAGUAACACGUGGAUAACCUACCUAUAAGACUGGGAUAACUUCGGGAAACCGUAGCUAAUACCGGAUAAUAUUUUGAACCGCAUGGUUCAAAAGUGAAAGACGGUCUUGCUGUCACUUAUAGAUGGAUCCGCGCUGCAUUAGCUAGUUGGUAAGGUAAAGGCUUACCAAGGCAACGAUGCAUAGCCGACCUGAGAGGGUGAACGGCCACACUGGAAAUGAGACACGGGCCAGACUCCUAAGGGAGGCAGCAGUAGGGAAUCUUCCGCAAUGGGCGAAAGCCUGACGGAGCAAAGCCGCGUGAGUGAUGAAGGUCUUCGGAUCGUAAAACUCUGUUAGUAGGGAAGAACAUAUGUGUAAGUAACUGUGCACAGCUUGACGGUAACUAAUCAGAAAGCCACGGCUAACUACGUG